rnacentral:lncRNA from 1 species
GGGCACCCAAGUGAAGGAUCCUGCUGAGGAUUCAGGGGCUGGUGUUGCUGUCAGGGAUCUUAGCCAAGAGCCUCAGGUUCCGGUAAAAUGAGGAUGAUGAUGUCCAACAGCUUAUGGGUCCUUGAAGUCCCAGCAUUUUUCAUCUUUCAAUCUCACUUCCUCUUCCUGAUAAUAGAGAGGCAACAAGAACUCAGGGCAUGCAAUGGGGCUCAACUUCUACUCUCUGCCACAAUUUCAUCAUGAUUCCCCCAAAGAGCAGAGCCCCAGGAGCCAGCAGGGGGCAGGGUGGGCAUUUCUGGACUGGAUUCAUUCAUAAUGAGUAUGAGAUCAAAAUUUCCAAUCCAUAGGUCUCAGGUGCCAUCUGCUGAUAGAUCAGACCAGAUG